UUUUUUUUUUUUUUUUUUUAAGCAGGUUUCAUUCUACACUUGAACUUUACCAACAUAAGUUCAUUUAAGUUAUGAUAAUAAUAAAUUUUCUAAAAGUUAUACACAAAACAUGGAAUGAUAAAUAUAAUUAAAAUAUCAUAAUUCACCACAAGUUUUCAUAAAUUCAUUAUAAACAUAAAUUGAUACAAUCCAAAUGUGCACCAAUUAUCACAAAUAAAAACACAAAAAAUAAAUAAAUUAAAUAUUGAAAUUCUUUUACAACCCUUAAAAAAAUCCAUAAAAGAGUUCAAGUUAAGACAAACUAUUUGAAUAGCAAACUUUUAUCAGUGGCAUGAUAAGCAACCACACCACCUUCACAAUUUCAUCAACUUAAGCUGAAAAAGUUAAAAUUUUAUUAUAAAAAUAUAAAUCUAAUUGCUCAAACUAAAAAAAACUAAAAAUUUUUGAAAAACAAAUAUACAAUUAAACACAUAAAAAAUUAAUUGCUACUAAACAUUACUAAUUAACAUGUUAUAUUAAAUUCAAUGAUCCUAUACCAUUAAUUAUUUUAAAUUCAAUUAUCAAUAGCUUCGAUUAUGUGUCAACUACCAUAUUUUUGACCAACCCAAUGUUAUUAUUUGUAAUUCCUACCCAAUUCCUACACGGAUGUGCACUACUUUUGCAAAAAUUUCAUCCUUAAUUAAUCGAAUAAAAAUAAAACAAAAAUGAGAGAAACAUAUGAAAAUUGAGGGGAAAAAGAAGAAAAUGCAAAAAAUCAACUAAAGAUAAUAAUAUAGAAAAAAACCUUGAAAAGAAAAAAAUUAAACUUACUAAAAUGUUGGAAAACAAGAAAAGUUGAAAUUUUCAACUUGUUUACAAUCUGCUAAAGAUAAUAACCUGAUAAUAAUGGUGAAGACUUGAGAAAAUCUUGUUGUGGAUAUUUGGGUUAAAAAUGGUUAAGAAGAAAAAAUUGAAAAAAAAAAUAAGAGAAGAACUUGAUGUUUUAUUAUAUUUUUUAGUCAAGUAUAAUUCUCAACAAACUUAAGUACAGUCUAGCGGUAAGAUUGUCAUAUUUAAACUUGGAGACCCAGGUUCGAAUCUUAGCUACACCAUUCUUGAUAUUUUGUUGAAGAAUUUAAAAAACCGCCGGUUCACGGUUCUUAACGGUUCGCACGGUUCGUCCGGGUUUCAACGGUUCUCCAUGAACUUCCGGCUUUAACAUUAGACCGGACCGGUGACAUGGCCGGUUCGCGGUCCAACCGGCCGGUCCGGUCCGGUUCUGAAAACAUUGCUCAUAACAAGUUAUUGAGUUUGACUUUCAGGGCUAUCCACUUAAAGGCUUAAUGAUUAAAAAGAACACAAAAUGCCACCAAAAUAUAAUAAUAAUAAUAAUAAUAAAUUAAAAGAAAAAUAAAAUAUUGAAAAAUUACAAAAAGAUAUAAAAUAAUUGUAAGAUAAUCAUUUUUAGCCAAAUCAAAAUAAUUGGUAGAUUUACCAAUUAUAUAAUUUGUAGAUCAAAGUAUAUGAAAAUGCAUGUACAAAUUUAGGUUCAAUGCACAAAAUAGAUUCUUUAUCCUGGUAUUAAAUUGGGUGUUUAUAGAGUACCUUAUUUUUUAAGAGUAUAAGGUAUGUAAGGAUCGAAGACAACCAAGUGGAAGAGAUAAGCAAUGUAAAGAUCACAAAUGUAACAAUAAGUAAAUAAAAAGGAAAGAAUUGCAAACCAAUUAACUACUCAACUCCUCUUGAGCUUGUAGAUUAAUUCAAACAAGCUUCUUCAAGUUGAUGAAUUACAAUCACUCUUGUAUACAAAGGAAGGUUCACUUCCUCCUUGCCCCGAACACCACUCGGUCAAGCCAGGAAGUUUUAUUAUCCCUCAGAACAACCCUCACAGAGCUACACUCAUGAAGUAUUCACUCACAAAUGAAAAGCUUCCAAUGAACCUCACACCACUAAGACUACAAAUCUUCUUUGAAGAGUAUUUUCUCACUAAAAUCACUCUAGAUCUUUUGUAUCUUCAGUGUGCAAAAGUUAUUUGAAAUAUCUGACCAACCACUAUUUAUAUAGGAUCAAGAAAGUGCCUCAUUAAUGCUUCUAACGGAUAGAAAGUAGCUGAAAAGUCAACUAGCCGUUGGAGUGUCGGAUGUCCGAUAUUCCUGUUUUUUGCGUCCGACAGCAGGCAGUGAGUUUAAGAGAUUUUCUUCAAUUCUUUCGGACGUCCGGUGCAAGCUCUUUGUGCGUCCGACAGCAAACAAAGAGAUUUGAGAAAUUAUCUUGUUUCUAUCGGACGUCCGGUGGAGACAUAUUCAGCGUCCGAUGGUUUCGUCGACUUCGAAGGAUCAUAUCGGACGUCCGAAGCAUGCGUCCGAAGUUGUGCAAUGAUUAUCGGACGUCCGGUACUGUCAUCACAAGCGUCCGACAGCUUUCAGCAACCUUUGUCUUCUUUCAAUUGCACUUGUUCAUGGAAUCAAAUAACUUCAUAACUGAAAAUAUAUCUUGAAGAGAUAUUAGUAUCAUCCAUUUGUUUUGUUAACAUCAAAAGAUAGGGAUCAAGAUCAACAAGGUAUGCCAUAGAGAUUACAUACAAAUAAUGAAAAAGUCAAAAAAUUUUUAAAAAUUAAAAAUUUAAGUGCAAUGUGUUCUAAAAAAUACUACAAUUUAAUACCGAAAUAAAUCACGUGUUGGUGCAUGUUCUCUAUUUGUUAAUUUGUUUCUCUUUCUCAAUAAAACUAGAUUAAGAAUUAUAAUUUGUACGUGCACCUAUGCUUCUAUGUAUAAAUUGAAUAAUUGGAAAAUGUAUAAGUUAUCUUAAUUUGAUCAAAAGUGAUUACCUUAAACAUUUUUUUGUCAAAAGUGAUUGCCCUAAACUUAAAUUUACUUUACAUUUUUUGAAGUUCUUAAAUUUUUUUUACGAUUUUUAUCUAGAUUUUCGAUACUUUCUUAUAGAGUGUCGUGCAUUUAUAUAUCAUAUUAAUAAAAUUUCUUACAUUUAAAAAACAUGAAGUGCCAAUUUGGUUAAUUAAUGUACUUUAAGGCCAACGUUUGUUCAAACUAGAACCUCAGAUACCAAUUUGGUCAAAAUUGAAUACUUUAGGGAAUACAUUUGGGGCAUCCCACAUCGGAAGUACCAAGAGGAAAGGAAAGGUUUAAAAACUUGGGUCCCUGGUUAAUUAUUUUGGACUAGUGGAUUUUGUCCCAAAAAUUGCUUGAUUCAACCCUUGGACCUUAGUCAUGACAGUUGGUAAUCUCUUCUAGAAUCCAGACACCUGAGUCUAACCGCAACCUAGUAUGGGCCACACCUCACCUCUGGAGUCUGAGCACCUCUAGAACCCAUACGAGUCACUUUUAGAAUCUGAGCAUACGAGUCACCCUAGAGUUUGACUACAACCAAGUACGAGCUACUUUUAGAGUCUGAACAUAUGAGCCACCUCUAGAGUCUGACCACAACUAAGUACAAGCCAUCUUUGAAGUGGAUUUGGGUCUAAGAGUUAUUUGAGUUAACCCUUGAACUCAAGUCGUGACAACAUUUAUUAUGGUUAAACCAAGUACGAACCAUCUUUGGAGUCCGAGUACCUCUAAAGCCCGUACUAGUCACCUUUUGAGUUCGAGUACAACCAAAUAGACAGUUUGGAUUCUGACGUCUUUUGUGAGGAUCCAAAGUUUUAAAGGUGGAGAGAAUGAGGUAUGGUACAUCAAAAGUGGGAAGAGGAAAGGAAAUGUUUAAAAAUUUGGAUCCCUUGGCUACUUUGUAACUUGGGUAACCAUUUUGGCCCCGCAGAUUUGGGCCUAAAAGUUACUCGGGUGAGUCCUUGAACCCAAAUCGUGACAACAUUUAUUCUGGUUAAAACUUCAAGGACCACUUUGGUCCAACCCCUAAACUUUUAGGACUAAAAAUGCAUUUUCUCAUUAUUCUUUUCUCGACUAAAUCUCUUAUUAUCUUAGCCAUGAAAAAUAAGGUUCUUCCUUCAUUGAAUGUGGUUUGGAUCUAGGAUUUCUUUGUAAAGGCCAUCAAUUCAUCCUUGCUACGAAAAUUUAAUCAAGUGAAAACAAGGAGAACAAAGUAAAAAAGGCCAAGCAUGGUUAACUCUUUAACAAAAACAUGGGCACCCACAUUAUUAAUUUUACUUUUAAGUAAGCUUUGAUAAGAUUAACUUCACUUGGCACCCUUGAAUUUGUAUUACUUUUUCACUUUACAUCCUAAAUUUUAAUUUUAGAUACCUUGCACCAUGAAUUUUUAAUUUUGAACACCUUGUACUCCAAAAUUUUAAAUUCGUCACAUUUAAGUCCAAUCAAUGAUUACAUUCGCAAAAUUAACGAGAUAAAGUGCAGUGAAAAUUAAUGAUUAUUGCAUAUCAAAAGUGAAUUAGGUACUUUUCUUUUUAUGGUUGGGACACACGACUUGGUAAGGGACUUAAUAUUCUGGAUUUAAAAAAAAAAAAAUGUAUCCCUCUUUUUCAUGUUAUCUACUAUACAUGAUUUUAUUUUUGUAAAUCCUUUAAUCUAACAUGAUUUAAAACAUUGAAUUGCUGGCAGAAUUGUGAAUUACUGAUGUCUACAGACAUAGACUCCAAACCUCGUUUCUUUAGGUCCUUUGCAUUCCAGUGGAUUGAUUGUAUGAUCCAUUCAACCACAUUUAGCGACAAGAGAUAGUGGCUGAUUUGUAAAAUUAAAGAGAACUCGUGAACAAAGUACAAAAUGAUUAACCUUCAUUCUCAAGGUAGACUAACUAAUUUUAUUAUUAUUAAAGCUCCAAAAUCGAAAGGAAAUUGGAAUUUUAGAAGUACGUAGAUUUCAAGAUAACCACAUUGAUGAAAUCGAAAUCAAGUAUUAAUGCUUCAUUGCUUCCUGCUACAUUACCAUAACCUACAGUUAUUUAACACCAAAAACAAGGCUCAUGCUUUAUAUAUGUGUGUGUAUAUAUAUAUAUAUUUAGAGAGAGAGAGAGAGAGAGAGAGAGACAUUAAUGAAUGCCGCCGCCGUCCAAUUUGGUUGCAAUAACGCCAACAGUUGCGAUCAGAACUUGGAGGUUUGAACUGGCCUGCUUAAGUUCUCCAGGUUCGGGUAAGGCCGGCUGGAAAUCACUGAACGACUGAUCACAGCCGUCUGGACCAUCCUGGGCAUCGCCGAGUCUGUGCCCAAGCCCUACAUAAUCCUUUUUACCCAAGAGAUCAUGGCAGUCUUUAAGAACCUUCCCGCAAUCGUCAUAGCUGCCAAGGCAGGAGUUCAAUGUGUCCCUCAGAUUUGGAUCGUUUGCGUCAUUGUAAAGCAACCGUAUCAAAGCUUGGGUUGCGGGUACUUUGGACGUUGCUAAACCUAGCACAAUACUGCCCAGGUCGGCAAGAUCUGUGGUGUUUGAACCAGCGGCUGUCCGGAUAGUUUCGCUGCAAUACUGAACAUCGUUUGAUAGAGAACAAACGUCGUCGAUCAAGUCUGCUUUUGCAGGACUGCAUACAAGGCCUGAAGAAAUACAGAUACUCAGGAGCAGCAACGCCACUACCACAUAAUAAUUCCCACUACUAACACUCGAAGCCAUUUGUCUUUGAUCCCUAAGGCAGUUAGCUAGCUUCAAGUUUUGUAACUUGUAAAUACUUAAAGUUGUAGGUUGAUAUUGAUUGAGCCUAGUCCUCAUAUUUAUACCAAUAGCUCUGGAUCAAGGGACUCACAAGUUGAAUUUUGGACAAUUUGAAUCGAUUCGUAUAAUUUUUUUACUACGUUCGGUAAUUUAGUUUCUGUGCUAAUUGUGUUUAAUAAGGCAUAAUAUCUAUCAAUUAGUUAGUUAAUUAUGGCAUGCGUAUGGUAUCUAUUAUAGGAUUAGGAAUUUUCUUAUGGGACUUAAUAUAUAUAUAUAUAUAUAUAUAUAUAUAUAUAUAUAUAUAUAAAAUGUAUGUAUGCAUGUAUAGACACACACACAUACAUGCAUGCAUGGGGUAAGAUAUUUCCUUUUCGUACGUAUAAUUAAUUUGGUAAUGGACUAAGUAAUUCGGAAAUUGUUUUUGUAAUUGAGCCCAAUUUGGAUAGUUUUUAAAAGACAUAAUAUGUGUCAAUUAACUAAUCAAUUAAGGUAUAAUAUCUAUCAAUUAUGUUUACUUAUAAGACAUACAUGCAUUUAACUUGGUAUGAACUUAAUAAUUCCAAGUUUCUUAUUAUAGUCAGAAUAUUAAUUCUUUGAUUUCUCUAUUGGACACUCACUAAUGCACCUAAAUUUUAUCUAACUUAUCAUGGAUAUACACAUAUUAACAAUUAUUACCUUUUCUUACAUUUAUACACUUUUCCUAAUUAAUCUUGCCUUUCUAAAAAUCUAACAAUUGAAAUAUAAUGAUUGUGCAUUGCCACCUGUUAGACUCUUGAUUCUGUAUUAUUACAUUCCUAAUUACUUCAAUAACAUAUGUAAUUGUACUUUCAUUAAAAAAAAAGGGAAAAAUGCUACACUAGAAAUUUAUAUGUUGGUCAAAACCAACGGUUAGGCAUGACCAUACAUAAAGCUUCUCACGUACCCUUGUUCUCUAUGUGAUCACUUACUAGUGUUUAAUAAGGUUAAGGCAUAAUAAGGUAAGACAAUUUGCUUAAAAUGUUCUUACCUAAUGGGAUUCGUUUGUACUUUUGGGCUGAGAUUAAGUGGAUUGAUCUUAGUGCAAUCCAUGCCUUAACUAGCAUUAGAAUCGGAUCUAAUUUUGAGCUCAAAAUUAGCUCAAUUCAGAUUUAAUAAGACUCAACUCACUACAUCUAAUGCGGGACGGACUAUACUCGGGACAGCUAGUUACUAAGAUAAUGAUUCAAUCGAAAGACAUCAUUAUUUAUGCACAUAAGUGUCAGAUUAUUCGGUGACAUUUUGGAAGUCCAUUUUCUAAAUUUUGAAAAUGCCGGGGGAUUGUUGAAAAUUUUUCAAAAUUUGUAUGAUGUACAUACAUGUAUUGUAUUAUGAAUUAUUCUAAAAUGUACAUAUAUUAUAAUAAAUGUAUUUUCAUUCAUGUCUUUGAGGUACAUAAAUGUAUUGUAUUAUGAAUUAUUCUAAAAUGUACAUAUAUUAUAAUAAAUGUAUAUUCAUUCAUGAAUUUGAAUGUAUAUAUAUUCAUGUAUGUGGAGAUCCUUGAAUGUAAGGGAUAGAUUCAUGUCUUUGAUCAUAGAAUCAUGAGAUGCAUGAAUUUGUACACAAUACCUUGAAUCUAUCCAUACAAGUAUUUAAUAAGUUCUUUUGUUUCUUAAACAAUCUCUCCUAUAUAAAGAGGUCAAGUAGAGAGUGAUUUGCUGCAAAAAAUCGCUUUCCUACUACUUUGAAUUCUCUCAAAAAGCACUCCUUAGUUCAAGAGGGUUUGUUUUAUUUUGUGCAAGAGUCUAAGACAAACAAAUUUCAUCUUAUGGUAAAAGAUAUUUGUCCAAGGUUAUUGCAUGUUAUACCGGACAAAUUAGGCUAAAGAAAAGUGAUAUUUUAUCAUGAUUUGAAACCAAUUCUUGUCACAAUAUUUGCCAGUUCGUUGUAAUAUUCCCAACAAACAUACGACUUGGUAAGCAACUUAAUAACCUGGAUAUUUUUUUUUAACAUGUGUCUUCUUAUACAUGUUAUCUUUUAUCUUUUUCUUCCUUUUUUUGGGGGGGGGGGGGGGUAAUGCCUUUAAUCCAACAUGAUUUAAAACAGUAAAUUGCUGGCAGAAUUGUGAAUUGGAGAUGUGUACAUAUAUAUAGACUCCAAAACCUGGUUUGUUUGGGCCCUUUACAUUCCAAUGGAUUGAUUAUAUAUAUAAACCAUUGAAGUUGUCAUCCACAUUUGGCCAAAAGAGUUGGAAGCUGAUCUGUAUAAUCAAAGAAAACUGGUGGACUGCGUACAAAAUGAUUGACCUUCAUGCUCAAGAUGGAGUGACUAAUUUUAUUAUCAUUAUAGCUCCAAAAUCUAAAGGAAAUUAGAAUUCUAUAAGUACAUAGAUUUCAAGAUAACCACAUUGAUGAAAUCAAGUAUUAAUGCUUCCUGCUGCAUUACCAGAACCUGCAGGAAUUUAACACCAAAAACAAGCCUCAUGCUUUAUAUAUAUGGAAAGAUAUUAAUGCUUGUCGCCGUCUCCCAAUUUGGUUGCAAUAAUGCCAACAGCUCCGAUCAGGACAUGGAGGUGUGCGCUGGCCUGCUUAAGUUGGUCAGGUUCGGGUAAGGCGGGCUGGAGAUCACUGAAAGACCGAUCACAGCCAUGUGGACCGUCUUCGGCUUCACCGAGUCUGUCCCCAAGAUCUAAAUAAUCCAUUUUACACGAGAGAUCAUGGCAUGCAUUCAUUACGAGCACUCAGGCUAUCGUCGUAGCUGCCAAGGCAGGAGUUCAGUGUGUCCUUUGUAUUUUCAUCGGUUGCAUGUCCGGCGAGCUCCUGUAUCAAAGAUUGGGUGACGGAUACUUUUGAUGUUGCUAAACCUAGCACAACUUUGGCCCAGACCGGCAAGAUCUGCGGUGUUGGAACCAGGGACCCGGAAAGUGCUGCAGCAAUACUGUACAUCCUUUGAUAAUGAACAAACGUCACCGAUCAAGUCUGCUUUUGCUGGACCACAUUAUAAUUCCCACUACUACCAUUCAAAGCCAUUUGUCUUUGAUUUCUAAGGCAGUUAGCUAGCUUCAAGUUUUGUAGCUUGUAAAUACUUGAAGUUGUAGGUUGAUAUUAACUGAGCCUAGCUAUCAUAUUUAUACCAAUAGUUCUGGAUCAAGGGCAUCAUAAGUUGAAUUCUACAUAGUUCGAACUGGUUUGUGUAAUUUUACUACAUUUGGUAAAUUUGGUUUUUGUGUUGAUAGUGUUUAAUAUGUCUUAGCCCCUGUUUCAUAACUCAAUUCAUCACUUAAAUUUAAUGAAUUCAAAUCUUAACAUAUUCAAAUCAUUUGAUAACCAAUAAUUGAACAUCUAAAUUAAUUAAGUGAUACCGAAUUUUCUAGGCAAAACUUACUCUCAAAAUUAAGUAAUAAGCUAUUCAAUUAUCACUGAAUGUGAUAUGCACUCAAAUAUAUUAGAUUUAAUAUUUAAUCAUUCAAUAACUUAAUAGAUUCAAACUUUAGAUUUCAAAUUUCAAACUUCAAAUUUCAAAUUUCAAUUUUAUCAAAUGCACCCUAAUAUCUAUCAAUUAGUUAGUUAAGGCAUGCGUAUAGUAUCAGUUAUAGGAUUAGGAAUUUCUUAUGGGACACAUACGACUUGUUAUGGGACAUAAUAAUUCUUUGGAAUCUUUUAUUAUGGUCAGCAAAUUAACUAUUCAGUAGUACUUUCUAGUUACUUCAAUAACCUCAAAUAGGGAAUUUAAAAAACCCCCCACUCAGGUGCUAGAAUUAUGAAUACAAAUUUAGUAUCCAUGGUGUCAUUGAAAUUUGGUAAUAGGCAUGUUAGGUGAGAAUUAUUUAUUAUGGUCAGGGCAUUAAUUCUUUAGUAGUUGUAUUCUGGUAAAAUUGUCCUAUUGCAGCUUUGCUACUACUACUUUUGAACACCUCUAUCAACCUAUCAAUUAGUUUAAUUUGAUAUAUAUAUAUAUAUAUAUAUAUAUACACACACUAGUAGGGGUGGGCUGUGCUAUGCACUGCCAGUGCCCAUUGGAAUGAAUUCACUGGUAGUUAUUGAUGAAACAGUAGCUUUUAUAGUAGUUAUAGUUAUAUUUUUCACAGGAAACAAUAAGUUGUUUUUGUUGCAUUUUAUUAGUAAUUGCAUUGUAUAGUAGUAAAUUCACAUUUGUUUCUUUCUGUUUAACUUGUAAAUACAAAUGUGUAUUGUUGGAAAAAAUAUACUGAUUUCUAUAAACUAUAGAAUGUUUUUGGUUUUAAUUAUAUUGUCUUGGUGAUAAAUUAUUCAAAGAAGUUACACACCUUGUGAUCUCUGUUUUACGAAAAUUACCAGGAAGGAAGUUAUGAGAACAAAUAAAAUGAAUAAAAGCUUCUGAGCUUUAAUCUACUUUGUCAAAUGUAACCACUUGAUUUAUUGUUGUCAAAAUUUUCAUCUAAAAAUGUAGUCAAUGAUAAGUAAACCACUCCAUUGAUUCAUUGUCCAAUCUAAUAGUGAAUGCAUGACGAAAUUACAAAGAACAAUUAAUCAAGUGGUUGAAAUUUAUACAAAAAACAAUCCAACUCUUAGGUAAAUGGUAAACAUCUAAUUGAAACAAAUCGUUGAAAGAAGUAAAACAAUGGCCAAUGAUUUGUAAAGAUUCAUUUUACAAGAAAAAAAUGGAAACCAGGAAUGAUAUGUAUAAAAGAGCGGUCAACUAUUUUGAGUUUUACUAAAAGGGAUGAGUAAGUUGUUUGACCAUUGAACCAUCAAACAAUUACAAAAAGAAAGCAAUCAACCACUGCAAAUCUAAUGGUCUAAAGCUAAGCAAGAUAUCAAAAUUAUUUUUAAAAAAGCAAAAAAUCUCAAAUAAAUAAAAACCUUAAAAUUUGCUUUGUAAUUAAACACGGCUUGGGUAAAAUAAUUCUUAGACGGACUGUUUCAUUUUAAUUAUGUAAAAUAAAUUAUAUACAUCUUCCCUAACAAAAUGCUUUAUAGUCUUAUUGCAAACAAUAUCAUUUUUUUCAUAUUCCUUUUUAAAUAUUUAUUAGAGACAUGAUUUAUACAUCUUAAUAUUUUUCCCACACCGUAAAAAUAUAUGUUUUAUCAUAUUUUUUUUCCAAUAAAUCCCAGACAAAUAAAAACCUCAAAAAUUACUUUCUAAAUGAAUAAAGUUCAUAACUGGCAUAUUUGUUUUUAUUUUUAUGCCAUCAAUUAAAUCAUCUCUUACCCAAUUUCUUUGUAAUAUGAAACAUUUAUCAAUUUUUGUAUCUUUUCUUGCCACUAAUCCCAAAGAAUAAGGAGAGUGUUUAUAAAAUGAAAGAAAAUUAUAAAUUGAAGCAGUUGAUGCACUUAUAUAUGCUUUGUAAAUAAUUAAUCUAGCAUUUAAACCCCCUUGUCAUGGUGUGUCUACUCUCAUUAGAAAAAAAUAUCAAUUUUGGUAUUUUAUUUUCCCUCAAAGUCCAAAUAAUUUUAAAAAUCUAUAGAAAAAUUAGGUUGCAUUCUGAAUAUUAACUUUGCGUUUACACUUAAAUUUUUUUAUGCUUAUACAUUUAUUCAAAGUAAUAAUUGAUAAAUUUAUUUUUUGAAUUAAACAUAUUAAUAUCAAAUAUUUCUCAAUUGAUUAUUUAUUGACUAAAGAGGCAAUAAAUAAUCAGCUAUUAUGGCUUGAUCCAUUACUGUGUAUCAUGAUCUCUUGAAUUUUGGAUUAAAAAUCAAUGGAUCAUAAUAUGGUUCAUAAAUACAUUUUUUCAUUUAGGUAAAAGUCUAGAAUUGGAUUUCAAUUUUGUAGUUUCAAAGAUAUUGACAUAAUUUAGAUCCUACUUAAAAUUUCAACAGCAAUUUUUCCAAGAAUCCAAAGCCAAAAAGGGAAAAAAAAACUAUAAUGAUUGGUUCCAUUAUAUAUGCUAAAAACUAUAAUGAUUGGUUCCAUUAUAUAUGCUAAAAACUAAUAGAGCUGAGAGCUGCAAUCAUCCGAAUCUGUAAGAAGAAAUUUGUUUAAAGGAAGUUAGAAGAUUAAUAAAGGGGAGAAAGAAGAAUUAAGCAUACAAAUUCAUCAUUUGAGUAAAAUAACAACAUAGUUUAAAAACUGAGCAUUGGUUCAAUAGUAACAUCUUUUCUACUUUCCCACUGCCAAGUAAUUCAGCAGGCAGUCAAAAACUUUCUAGUAGUGCUAUAUUCUAGACAACUAUAAAUUGAAAUACUGACUGCCCACUAAUUAGAUUGCUAACUUGCAUUUAUUCGAUCAAGUU
rnacentral:lncRNA from 1 species